ensembl:snRNA U6 U6 spliceosomal RNA
UCGCUUCAGCAGCACAUAUACUAAAAUUGAAACGAUACAGAGAUUAGCAUGGCCCCUGAUCAAGGAUGACACGCAAAUUCGUGAAGCGUUCCAUGUUUAA